UGCAGUCGCACGAGAACGCUUCAGCUUGCUGAAGUUAGUAAAGUGGCGCACGGGUGAGUAACGCGUGGGUAAUCUUCCCCCGAAUUGGGGAUAACAUUGCGAAAGCGAUGCUAAUACCGGAUAAUAUCUUAAGUACCCUGGUACCUAAGAUCAAAGGUGGCCUCUACAUGUAAGCUACUGUUUGGGGAUGAGCCCGCGUACCAUUAGCUUGUUGGUAGGGUAACGGCCUACCAAGGCAGCGAUGGUUAGCUGGUCUGAGAGGAUGAUCAGCCACACUGGAACUGACACACGGUCCAGACUCCUACGGGAGGCAGCAGUGAGGAAUUUUGCGCAAUGGGGGAAACCCUGACGCAGCAACGCCGCGUGAGUGAUGAAGGCUUUCGGGUCGUAAAGCUCUGUCAAGUGGGAAGAAACCACAUGGUGUUAAUACCACCUUGUGCUGACGGUACCACUGAAGGAAGCACCGGCUAACUCCGUG
rnacentral:rRNA from 1 species